GCCUGUGUUACAUAACAAUAUAAUAUGAUCAACUAGAUACUUACACAAUUCAUAUAAAAAAACAUUACAAACACAUUCCAUAAAAAAAAACAUUACAUAUAUCAAAGAGUUAAUAAUAGAUAUGUCCAUAACUCAUCAUUACAAUCAUAGAUCUAGCAAGUGAAAAACAUCCCUCCAACAUGAAAACCUUAAUCAUUGUUAUGAUCUUUGCUAUAACAUUGAUUCUUUCACUUGAGGUUAAUGUUGUCAAAGCUAGAACUUACCCAUCUUCAUCUCAAGUUUCAAAAGUGCUUUCAUCAUUCCAACCACAUAAAGAAGGGUCAUCAAAAUCAACUCAAGAUCAGCAUGAGGUAGUUGCUAGCCUUAAAUUCAUACCACCUAGCAGACCAAAUCCAACACAGAACAAGUUAAAUCCUAAGAUAAAGGAUUAAGCAGAGAAAUUGGUGGUGGUGGUGGUGGAGCUGUGUAGAUUCAGACUUGUAGCAAGCAUCAACUCGGUUUUGAUCUAUAGCUUUGUUUUUUUUGGGACUGUUUCUCAUCUUUAAAUUGUUAGUUUUGUUAGUCAUAGUGAGAUAUAUAGUUGAGUUUAGAUUUCAAUUUAUGUUGUCUUUAACUUGAUGCUUUAGAAUAUAGAUAGGGUAGGAGGUGAUGAAUGUAAAGGAGAAAAUGAGUAGUAGCAUCAAAAUGUGUCAAACUCAAAACUGUUAAUUUUUUUUUUUUGCAUAACAAUGAAAUUUGUUUGUUUUGUUUC